UCCCCAGGGACGGAGCCCGGCGGGAAAGUGAAGAUCGGGGCCUCGUCACCAGCAUCGAUAAAUGUCACCUGCCCCCGGUCACAGUCCAGACAAACCCGGAUCCUGCUGGGGAACCGGCUUAGGGGCAGGCGGGUCACAGGGGAGACGGCAGAGUGUCUGGAGGCAGAAAUGAUAAGAGAGGCAUCUCUCAGCAAUGGAACCAGCAUCCUUGCAGCCUCACAACUAUCCCAAGACACACAAUAUG